rnacentral:rRNA from 1 species
GAUGAACGCUGGCGGCGUGCCUAAUACAUGCAAGUCGAGCGAACAGACGAGGAGCUUGCUCCUCUGACGUUAGCGGCGGACGGGUGAGUAACACGUGGAUAACCUACCUAUAAGACUGGGAUAACUUCGGGAAACCGGAGCUAAUACCGGAUAAUAUAUUGAACCGCAUGGUUCAAUAGUGAAAGACGGUUUUGCUGUCACUUAUAGAUGGAUCCGCGCCGCAUUAGCUAGUUGGUAAGGUAACGGCUUACCAAGGCAACGAUGCGUAGCCGACCUGAGAGGGUGAUAGGCCACACUGGAACUGAGACACGGUCCAGACUACUACGGGAGGCAGCAGUAGGGAAUCUUCCGCAAUGGGCGAAAGCAUGACGGAGCAACGCCGCGUGAGUGAUGAAGGUCUUCGGAUCGUAAAACUCUGUUAUUAGGGAAGAACAAAUGUGUAAGUAACUAUGCACGUCUUGACGGUACCUAAUCAGAAAGCCACGGCUAACUACGUG